UACGGGGGGUGCGAGCGUUAAUCGGAAUAACUGGGCUUAAAGGGCACGCAGGCGGACUUUUAAGUGAGGUGUGAAAUCCCCGGGCUUAACCUGGGAAGUGCCUUUCAUACUGGGAGUCUUGAGUACUUUAGGGAGGGGUAGAAUGCCACGUGUAGCGGUGAAAUGCGUAGAGAUGUGGAGGAAUACCGAAGGCGAAGGCAGCCCCUUGGGAAUGUACUGACGCUCAUGUGCGAAAGCGUGGGGAGCAAACAGG
rnacentral:rRNA from 1 species